AGGUCGAGCACUCAUAAGUGGUUUGUAUUAUAUUUUAAUAUUUUGACAUUGUGAAUCAGUUUACUUAAAAAAAAUAAAAAUAAAAAAUAAAAAAAAUAAUAAUUUACAGUUUCUUACAAACCCAGGUUCAUAAAUCACGGUUGGGAUUGAGUAAAACAGGAGGUUUCAAAAAAGCAUCCUGGUUCUUCCAGAAGCCUGAUCCCGGUCCCACACGACCAGGACAGAUUAGCUCUGACAUUUUCUUUGCCUCCCUCAGUCUGAAACGGGGAGAUUAGGUGAGGAUUAGGGUCCGGUGGGCCAGCUGGCCUCAAAAUUCAUCCUCCAAAUAUCUCAGGAAUGUUGAUAUGCCUGCGCUCAAUGGGAGACCUGAAACCUGGUGGGGGCGCUGUUCUUAGAGCCACCACCAUCAGACGGACAGGUUGCUAGGUAAACGCGCGCGAGGCAGGGAGCGCGAGGCAACGCUGGCAGGUUGGAGCAGGUGGAAGAAAGGGAGAAAGGAAGCUGGUGCGCGGGAGGCGACCGCAGGUCUGUUCCCACCUGAGAACAUACAAGUUACAAAUACUUUUUUUUUUUAUAUUUAGAGGAUGGUUUCUUAUUUUUGAAUAGAAACAGGAGAGGAACCCGCCCCGCUUCAGUGAACUACUCUUUUCCUCGACUUUGUACAAAGGGGGGUUUGUCUGCAGGUAGAUAACUGUGCGCAGGUGAGGAGGAAGCUUAGUGGAAUCCACCUGCUCGAUGGAUCCAUCCGGAACCAGCUGAUUCCAUGGUGCUUCUAGUGGAAUCAGAGACAUGGAUCUAAGCUGAUGGUCCCCCCACCACCCAUCCAGCAGACAUGGCAGCCCCCCGGGAUGUGGUGGCCCCACCUGGACUGGUCUUUGGGAGCGUUUUGCUGCUUGGACUUGGCAUCAGCCGCGCGUGGGUUACAGCAAAGCAACUUGGUGCAGUUGAGCGAUCACAUGGCUGCUCAAGGAUCAAAUAGCUGGAGUCGGUGGUUGACUGGAGGAGUACCCGGAGUUAUUACAAAUAACUCUGCUUGGAGGUAAAAGUGUUCUGUGCUGUACGGUACAUUUAGUUUCCCUCAAUUUGACCUGUGUGUGCAACAACAGACCAUAAGGAAUGCAUGAAAAUGCGGUUUGAUGAGUCUUUAAUGGACGUAACAGAGAAAAUUAGAUGGAGACGAUCAGAGUUGCUGCUUGCAAGUUCCAGUCACUUUCACUGGAGCUGCUGGAUGGACUAACAGUUCAUUGGUUCAUGCAGAAAGUAAACCUCAAACAAGAUCCUUUGAUGGAGGUAACCUAAGAAUUCACAAGCAUGCUUGGUUUUAUUUAUUCAAUUUUUGUCAGAUAAUAUCAACAAUGUUAUUUUAGGUUCCACUCUGAUUAUCUAUUGAUCUAUUUUCUGGGUGUACCUGGUGGUCUUUUAAUUAUGUUGUCUUAAGUCAAAAUAAAAAAACAAAUUGCGCUGUUUUAUAGGAAACAAUUUCUGCAGAUUGACGGUAGUUUAUCAGAAUUUAGCCUCUGAGUAGUGGACGGGACCACUGGCAUGGAGUAAGCUUACUCCCACAUCCCGUCAUCCAUCCGUUUACGCCCUAUUCUGCUAAUUUACAACCCCUCACACCCCCAACCUAACAUUACUAGUGCAACAAAAAUGGUGAGC
rnacentral:lncRNA from 1 species